rnacentral:rRNA from 1 species
ACUCAAAGGAAUUGACGGGGGCCCGCACAAGCGGUGGAGCAUGCGGUUUAAUUCGAUGCAACGCGAAAAACCUUACCAACCCUUGACAUGUCUGUCGCGGAUGUUAGAGAUAACGUCUUUCAGUUCGGCUGGACAGAACACAGGUGUUGCAUGGCUGUCGUCAGCUCGUGUCGUGAGAUGUUGGGUUAAGUCCCGCAACGAGCGCAACCCUCAUCCUUAGUUGCCAGCAAGUAAAGUUGGGGACUCUAAGGAAACUGCCGGUGAUAAGCCGGAGGAAGGUGGGGACGACGUCAAGUCAUCAUGGCCCUUACGGGUUGGGCUACACGCGUGCUACAAUGGCGGUUACAGAGGGAAGCUAGAGAGCGAUCUUAUGCAAAUCCUUUAAAAACCGUCUCAGUUCGGAUUGCACUCUGCAACUCGAGUGCAUGAAGUUGGAAUCGCUAGUAAUCGCGGAUCAGCAUGCCGCGGUGAAUACGUUCACGGGCCUUGUACACACCGCCCGU